GACGAACUGUGCAAACGUUAUUCGGAAUCACUGGGCUUAAAGGGUGCGUAGGCGGUCUUGUAAGUAGGGUGUGAAAGCCCCCGGCUCAACCGGGGAACUGCGUCCUAAACUGCGAGGCUAGAGUGAGGUAGGGGUGUGUGGAACUUCCAGUGGAGCGGUGAAAUGUGUUGAUAUUGGAAGGAACGCCGGUGGCGAAAGCGACACACUGGACCUUGUCUGACGCUGAGGCACGAAAGCGUGGGGAGCAAACAGG
rnacentral:rRNA from 1 species